rnacentral:rRNA from 1 species
CCUACGGGGGGCAGCAGUGAGGAAUAUUGGUCAAUGGACGAGAGUCUGAACCAGCCAAGUAGCGUGAAGGAUGACUGCCCUAUGGGUUGUAAACUUCUUUUAUAUGGGAAUAAAAUGUUCCACGUGUGGGAUUUUGUAUGUACCAUAUGAAUAAGGAUCGGCUAACUCCGUGCCAGCAGCCGCGGUAAUACGGAGGAUCCGAGCGUUAUCCGGAUUUAUUGGGUUUAAAGGGAGCGUAGGUGGAUUGUUAAGUCAGUUGUGAAAGUUUGCGGCUCAACCGUAAAAUUGCAGUUGAAACUGGCAGUCUUGAGUACAGUAGAGGUGGGCGGAAUUCGUGGUGUAGCGGUGAAAUGCUUAGAUAUCACGCAGAACUCCGAUUGCGAAGGCAGUUCACUGGACUGCAACUGACACUGAGGCUCGAAAGUGUGGGUAUCAAACAGGAUUAGAUACCCCAGUAGUC